rnacentral:rRNA from 1 species
AUUGAACGCUGGCAGCAGGCCUAACACAUGCAAGUCGAGCGGCAGCGGAAAGUAGCUUGCUACUUUGCCGGCGAGUGGCGGACGGGUGAGGAAUACAUCGGAAUCUACUCUGUCGUGGGGGAUAACGUAGGGAAACUUACGCUAAUACCGCAUACGACCUACGGGUGAAAGCAGGGGACCUUCGGGCCUUGCGCGAUUGAAUGAGCCGAUGUCGGAUUAGCUAGUUGGCGGGGUAAAGGCCCACCAAGGCGACGAUCCGUAGCUGGUCUGAGAGGAUGAUCAGCCACACUGGAACUGAGACACGGUCCAGUCUCCUACGGGAGGCAGCAGUGGGGAAUAUUGGACAAUGGGCGCAAGCCUGAUCCAGCCAUACCGCGUGGGUGAAGAAGGCCUUCGGGUUGUAAAGCCCUUUUGUUGGGAAAGAAAUCCAGCUGGCUAAUACCCGGUUGGGAUGACGGUACCCAAAGAAUAAGCACCGGCUAACUUCGUGCCAGCCGCCGCCGUAACAC